UUCGGUCGGUGUAUUUUUUCGCGUGUACGUCUUCGUACUAAUUACGGGGGAUUUUCCCGUAAUAGCCCAGAGCCCCACAAAUCCACGAUACGCUCAUGGCAGUACCACUUAAUUAUCGUGCUAAAAAUGUGUUUUGCCAGAACCCCCGGUAUAAAUAAAGGCAAUCAAAAUUUUUUAUGCGAAAAGUAUGUAUAAAUGUAAGGAAACAUUUCUUAUUAAGUUAGAACUGGAUUUAUUUUGUUUUGGUUUAUUGAUUUGUUAAAAUGAAUUCCCUUUUCUCUCUGUGAUAUUAUUAUUGUAACUAGUGGAAAGCUAAUGUUUAUUGUAGAACCGUUUUUGUUCGAAAAAGAUAUUCGGAAAACUCGAGGCAAAAUGAGAAAUUCCACCCCUGUCAACUGGUUGUUUGUGAUACAACAGAGUGUAUAAGGUUAAAAUGAUACCAAUACAAUAAUAUUUUGGUUUAUCACGAUGGCAACCAUCAUUCCGCUACUUGAUUGUUUGUCAAAUAUUAAGGUUCCUAAUAAAUGCUACGAUAAAUAUUA